rnacentral:scRNA from 1 species
GGUCUCUCUCCCAUGGGGYUAUGGAGGGUCCCUCUUCUCACCAGGGCUAAAAACCAAGAUCAACCCUUAAGUAUAAUCACCACACAAUCACAAGAUGGAACAGCCCUGUUUUCCUACCAUUACAGUAUA